GAUGGGUUAGUUUAAAGGUAAAACCUAGUACUACGGAUACUUGGAUGUAAGUUCGAUUCUUACACUCAUCU
rnacentral:tRNA from 1 species